AGUGUUCAUCCCCAGUGAGAGAUCUCAGUAAAUAGUGGCCACCCUGCAAGAAAGCACGCUCCAGCAAACAGCCGCCGCCUCAGGCUGGUGUGCAUCCUGUUCUGGAAAUGAGUAAGCCACAAGGCUGUAUGUUUACAACUGAAACAGACUGGUAGGGGAAAAAUAAGGGAAGGCACGCAUUUUUGUUAAUUUCAGUAAUUAACUGGAGGGGGGAAAAACCUAUGAUAAAAGUAGCUCUGAAUAAGCUAUCAAGGACAUCACGCACGGCUGCAAUGAACUGAGAAGUGCCCACGCUCUGGCCAUACUCUGCCAGGUCUUCCCAAUGACAACGCACACAGCAGCUACAGAAACCUCUGGUAUUGGUACCACAGGUCAAAGCUGGAAAAUUCUACCUUUAUUGGAACUCCUGUUACUAAUUGACAACAAAUACCAGCUCUGGGUUUUAUACAUGGUCAGCCAUCAGCAAUGCUCAAGGAAGGAACCAUGCUUCAAGGAGUAAAGUGCUGUACUGACAGUUCAGGGGGAAAGCAACAGCAGAAAGCAGAUCCUGACCACUGGCAGCACGAAGGAAAAGGGGACACGAGUGGUUCUGCUCCACCUCCAUGUUCUCCGGACUCCAGGAGCCUAGAGGGCCAGAGUAACAGCUUGGGAAAAAGAGAAGGUUAAAGUGAUCCUGAAUUUAACUGAUCCACUGCAUGGACAUGCUCCUCAGCCAGGACAUGAUCCACCACCCUGGUCACAGCUCUGUUCCUGCACAUGGCUCCCACAAACCUCGGCUUCAGAAGAUUUGAUUGUGAGAGAUCAGCUGAUUUAAACAUGCAACGGACACCUUGAAGCCAUGUAUUUAUAGAAGCAUUACCGAAAGCAAAAAUCCAGCAGCUGACAACACAGAAACAUGAUGUUAAAUCAAAACCAUCAAAUACAAGCUAAGUUCAGUGUCUAUGCGAUUGGCUAGAUGCUAAGUCUAAGCCUGCUGAAUUAAAUACAGGCACUCCAGAAAAAAAAAAAAAGAGGUAAAAGCCUGAAUUUAUUACCAGUAGAUGAAGUGCUACACAAGUCACAUUCUCCAUGCCAAAGAGACUGCUGCCCGACAGGAAAGUGCUCAGUGCAUUAAGACACUCAGAGCCAGCUGCCUGAUUUAUGGCUCAUUUGCAUUACAAAGGGCAAUUCUCUUCCUACCCCCUGAAUUCCUAACCAAUUUUGCUGCUCUCCCUGGGAUUUCCUCCCACACAAAUCAACAAGAAAAAUCCCACAGACCUCAGUGGUGGAGCAUCACAGACUCAGAGCACAGUUAACAUACAUCCUCAAAUUUCAGCUGAUCCUAGGCAACAGGCCCUGCCCAAACUACAGAGUAAGGCAGAAAAAAAACACAAACCUACACUUAGAACCCACUCCUUGUAACCGGAUUGGCAGGAGCAAGACAGGGCUUGGAGGAAUUGUUCCCAAAUCCAAUCUGGAGGCUGGGUUAAUGCCGAGGGCAUGGGAACACACCAGCCUGGCACCACAGAGAGCCUAAUGCCAUGAAGAAUUGCAGCACAGGCUCCUACGCUGCUCCAAUUCCUCCGAAGCCCCAUAGAAGAGGAAAAAUAAAGAGCCUGCCUCUCUCCAAAAGCACACUCCUGCAGGCAUCAUUCACUGGGUACACCACCUUCCACUCCAGACGUGCAGCACCAUUAUCAGAAGCGGACCCUCUCACCAGCCAAGCCAGCACAGACAACAUAGCACACAGCAGAAACAAAAGGGCAGGAGCCCUCAGUCACAGGAGCAGACUUCACCUGUGGGCUAAAAAUGCCAGCAACUUUUCCUGAAGGUGGAUGCUUAGCACCUUAUCAGACCAGGGAUUCUCCCAAGAAAAUUGUGACAGACCUCCAGACGCUGACUCUGCUCCUUCUCAAAAUACUCUGUGCCCCACCAGCCACGAGGCUCAAGGCACGUGAGAGCUCAGCGGGGCUGCUGUCACAAGGUGGUGGGACAGCCAGGAUUUCCUGGAGCACAAACAAGGGAUGAUCAACAGCACCAUGGCAGAAAUCAGCCCUGCCAGGCAUCUCCUCAGGUGCGAGCAUCAGCGUGGCUGCUCCUGAAAGGGGCCCCCACUCCCAGCAGCUCCCAGCCAGCAGCACUGCUGCCCACAGGAGACCUGGCAAAAAUAAGUCUGUGUGGGACCACCUCUUGUGUUAGGUGCAUGCUCUCAGCAUCAGCGUAAGGCACAGAUCUGCCAGGCAUUAGCGCUAGAUCUCCACCAGCUUUAAGCAGGCUUAGUUGCUGGGAACAGGGAGAACUGUCUGUAGUCCUAAGAGCAGAAGAGAAAACACUGCUGCGAGGCUGACCCGUGGGCACUACAGCAACACAGCGCCGUCCAUAAAGGUAACUGUAAGUCUCACCUAUGCAGAAGGCCAUCCUUUGAAGCUCCCACGUUUUUACAGCCUUUGAGAUGCAAUGUCUUUAAAUCUCUGAGAGCACAGAGAGAAGUUGCAGGCUGUGCCUGAAGCAGACCUGGCUGCAGGCAGCGUGGGGAGAGGAGAAGAGGAAGACAAAAUACAUUUGGCUACGUGAGCAGCAAGUCUUAUCGACACCGCACAGACUCCUACAUCAAAAGGCCUAUCGUGUAACUAUUUAUGUUCGAGAAAAGAGGAGGCUAAAUAGGUUUCUUUUCUUACAGUUUCUUUUUAAAAGCUGAUAAGAGACACCCGAAGGUCCCUCUGGGAAAAGCAGAUAUAAGGUCACCGUACACUUGCUGCCUAACAAACCAGCUGGGCACCGAUCUUGCAAGUUAACCAGUGAAGAUUCUGAAAUUGCUGCUAUAAGACAGCACGCUUUAAGACUGAAAAAAAUGGAUCUCUUUUCUCUGCAUGUUCUGUGAUAUGGCCCUCAAGGAAAUCAGGAGCAUAAUGGAACUCUCCCUUUCUUCUCUUCCCUAAAAAAAAGGAAACAAAAAAAACCCACACACUACCACACCCCUUUAUACAGAACCCACACUGUUACCGAGUCCCAUCACAUGCAGAGAGGAAGAAAAGAACGGGUGAGGAGAUUAACCAUGUAUCCAGCCUUACGCAAGCUCUGAAUCUCCAUAAAUAGCAUUUCUGGUAUUAGAAAAUUGCAGAAAACCCUGUCUCAGGGCCCUAUUCCAUCCUUCCACUGAACUCUGUUACCCAGUAGCAGCAUUCUCCUUCAACCAUAGGUGACUCCACUACUCUUGAGGACAAAGCACUGCCCAGGACCGGCACUGCACAAGCCACUGUCUUGUUUGUAUUUUCCAGAGGAAGCACUGAAAUUGAGAAUAAUUCACGGGCUAAGUAGAGGGUGAUAAUUCAGGCCGCUCUUCCGCUCUCACCUUGCAUCAGAGGAUUUCAAGACUGCUAAUACAAAACAACAGCAGUGUGAGAUGAGGAAACAGUUCCUAAGCAGCAAUCUGACAUUCUGCUGCAAAACAUCACAUCUACAGCACGCUUCAGAAACAGCAGGUGCAAUUUUCCCCCAACCCUCCCUUUUCAGGUUUUACAUCUAUCAUAAAAAGAAAGCUUUCAUUUUUUAUAUACGUACACAACAGUAAGUAUAUGAGCAACGUACAGCAAAUGUCUCUCAAGCAUCGAGGGGAUCUCACCACCCUCCCAAAAAAGCUCUAUUCAAAAUCUUCCCAUGCUGCUGUGAAAUUCUAGAUAGUCUUUAAUGCCUGAAAACUGGAGCAGCUGCAGAAGACAGCUGUAGUACUAACCUACACAGCAGCAGGCAGAAAGUCUGCUAAAAACAUUGAAACCCUUCCAUUUUAAGUAAGUGGAAGCCAAAUAGCAACGCUGCAUGCUUCAGAAAGUCAUUUUUAUGGCUUCUCUCAGCAGCCAACGUAUCAAAUCGAUCCCGUGCAUACACACAUAAAUAACAGAGCAAAUAAUAUGCUUGCACCUAUAAAUCUGACAGACUGAUAUCUGCAGCCUUUUCUUAGAAAAUAGAACACCUCAGGCAUACGCAUUAUUGGUCAAAACAAUGGAAAUAAACUGCAAAACCAUUUUUAGUUCCAAUAACAGCACUAUGAGGUAAUGUUUAUGCAUCUGGAAGCAGAGCUCGGGAACUUCCAUUAUACAGAUGAGCUGAAAUGAAGUAUUAUUUCCUCAAGUCAUUUAAAAAAAAAAUUAUGCAUCUCCAGGACCUUGGCUUGAAUAUUCUUCACACCCAAGAUAAACCUCCACGACGGUUUGUUUUAAAAACAAUGUGUGGAAAUUUUUCCUUCUGAAAGCAAAAAAUAAACCAUGGGUGCUACAGGAAACCUGCAUAAACAUCAGCACUUUGGCUCAGCAGAGCAAGAACAAUCGCGAGGAGACAACUGCUGGCGAAACUGUAAUGCAAGGAGCACUCAACGUCUGAAGAUGCUGUGUGGAUGUAAUGAGCCUGGCCGACAAGAAAAGCACCUGAAAUAAAGAUUUAUGAUCAAGUCUCACGUAUAGGAAAUGCUUUCAGGGAAGUACAUUGGUGUGUUUAUUACUUAUCUGGGAUUCCCUCCUUCCUAGCCACCACUGAUACCCUCUCAUUCCACACAUUCCCUCUGUGCUCAUCAUAUUUUUCUCAUUUCACCACUCUCCUAUGUCUUAAUAGCCACAGGAAUGAAAAAUAUGAAGCAUACAAGUACUGAACGAGGCAAUAAGAGAGAAUAAACCCAGAAGGAUUCCAGAUGGGUCCGCUUACAGCCUUACUGGUUUGCAACAUGCAGCAAACUGACCCAAGGAGUGACGGUGCUGCCCCAGAGCAAGGGUCUGCGUGAGCCAGCCCCUGCCUCCAGCAGCAGGGAAGGAGUGCAGCAGCGAGAUGGCUGCAGGUGGCUCCUUCGCCCACUCUUCAGACUCCAGCUGUUGAGAGCUCCUCAGCUAGGUACUGCUGGCUCCUACUGCAACCAACUGCAAGUGUUUACAGGUUAGGGUAAAGUUAGGUUGUAAACAGCUAACGUUACUGCAACGCUGUGUAUGAUUUACUGUAUUAAAUUAUUUUUAAUAGCUAAAAAGAAGUAGAGAAGAAGUAGAAGAGCUGCAAAUGAGAGCCAAGUAACAAGUAAACGAUAACUGUACUCAACACUCACACACAAUCUCUGUACGCCUUGGUUUGAAUGUGCAAAUCUCAAUCUGCAUGGAUGCAAAUUUAGCCAUCUAAACCAAGAAUCUAAACAAAAUUAAAACAAGUUGUGAAUUUCAUCACUUUCCUUAAAUAUUCAUAUCACAAGGCAACAUGAGGUGAGUAUCAGGCUGUACAACUGGCUUCAGCCUCUGACUGCGUAUUAGCAAUCUGGAGCUAAAUGGAGCCUCUGCCUACUCAGAUGGGCUUUGGAGCAUGUCCCAGACAUUUACAUAGGGAUUUUUUUUCCAGAAGAAUGAUGCUAACAAGACAACUGUAAACUCAACAAACACAAAGGCACCCAAUUCCCCAUGAGAACGUUUUCCCUAAUAGAAGUACUUCAUCUUUGACUUCAGAAAACUCUCAGUAGUGACCAAAAAAUUGGGAAAUAAAAUUCAUAGGUCCCUUGGAAACCAUAAAAAAAAAAAUAAAAUCAUUCAAAGUAAAUAUCAGUCUUAAGGUACAUCUCUAUAAUGCAUUCUUCAGAUUAAGAUCAUUACAGAUUAGAGACAACUAUUAAUAAGAUUAACGUAAGCAACUUGUUCUAGUUGUUGAAAAACAACUUUUUUUUCCCCCCAAAUAAAGGAUGUAUUUGUUGUUCUCUGAUAAGGAAAUAGUUGAAAGUUUCUUCACGUAGCAAUGACAGAUCAUGUAAGGCAUGGAAAAUGCUAGUUCACAGCAAUGAGAGCUAAGAAAUACAGAAAACUUAAAACUAAAAAAGCCUAUUUUGUCACUUGUUCAGAGAGCUGCUCAAACUCUUCCCUUGUGAUCUGCCAUCUCCUAGAACUUCUUGUCCAAAUAUAUCCAGUAACACAGCACUUUGCAAGCAAAGCAACUCCAGCUUCGAGCUGCACGUUCAGUCUUCCAGAUUAUCAACCUAUACUCAAUUCUUUUCAUGACAUGUGUCACUCAUUUCAAUAAUUUCUUUGUGAAAUUUAGUGAAAUUUAUAAUAGCUAUUCAUUUUUUAAUUGUCUUAAAAACCAUUCCUGACAGAAAUGGAACGAGGUUUCUAUAAGCAACAAUGAUAAUGAAUACACCAAGAGAGACCAAGUUAGCCAGGGUGGGGGUAUCUGCUCUUUGUACUAAUGGAAAUAUUCCCUUCCUGGGGGCAUGAGAAUAGUCUUGGUACCGUAACAGCUACUGUGUUAACUUACUGCUUUCAGACUGCACCUCAGCACAACAAAAUUUGGAUUAUCUGAAGUUUAUGCAUUUGUAUCACAUGCAAAUACCAUAAGUGAGUGAAAUAACUCUGAACUCGAUCAUAUGCAGCAGGCAGAGGAAAACUGAGAGGCUUUCUGCAAGAGCAGAGGAAAGGCAAGAGAAGCACAGCACAGAGGAAAACUGCACGUUGUAUCAGGACUCAAGAGCCCAUAACCACAGUAAAAAGAACCAAAUGUCACAGGCAAGCAACAGCAGAGCACAGACCCAAUACACACAGAUGUACCAUUGUUCAUCCAUAUCACAUUGUACCAUUUAUUUCUGACUGGCUGGAUACCAGGAGAGCCUUCAGGGCAAGAGGAGACAGAGCUCUGUUCAAGAGCUGGAGUGACAUUGGUCCAUUUGGGAGCUAUCGGCACAGAAGUAAACAGAAAAGCCUGGAAACGAGGUUAAAAAAAAAAAGGCAAGGAAACCUAACUAUGCAGGACAGUCUUUAAGUAGGAGUAGCAGUGUUAAAUAAGGACCCAUUGCUUAAGAGAAAUCUAUGCAUGCAUGUUACUCUUCUACUUCUUGCCUGUUAAACUCCCACGAGCUGUAACAUCUUAUCUGCAUAAGGAAUCUAAAUUGAUCUUUGAGAAGUUUCCUAGCGAUUGCUAUUUCACUUGAAAAAGUGACUUGUUACAGCUCUUGACAACCAAGUCCUUUACCACAACACAUGCUGGGUGAAAGGAGCACUUGGUAAGCAGAAGCAAUGGAUGGGAAGAGCUUUGUAUUAGCUUCACUUCCCAUGAGAAGGGGUAGGAACCUAUUAUAAGUGCAGUUUGUCAGCAGGGAAAAACUGCAGCACUGAAGAGCAUGAAGACCUGCAGAACAAAGAUGCAAUGGCUGAGUACAUCUCUUCAGUACAGGAAAUUUACAUAUUUUAUAGGAUUUAUGUUGAAACCAGCUUACUUGAAACACUGAUCUGGGGCAGAGAGAUGCAGACAGUUGGUUCUUGUUAACUUUCACACUUCUAGGAGGGCCAGGACUACACGAGCAUGUAGACAAGAAGCUGCCUCCUGGUGGGAAGUCAGACCCUUUGGGGUGUUGGCAGGGCCAUGAGGCCAGUGCUUGCUCUGCUGCUCGUGCCCACACACUGCCUCGCGCUGCCAACACAGAGCUCAGGUUUCAGGUAGCAAGCAUUUAAGACUGAUACUGGUUUAAAGUAAAAUUCCCUAAGAUGCAAUCUUUUACAUCUCCCCUUUUAGCUAGUGCUUUUGUCCUUGUUAAUACCGUAACAACCUUUCCCCUUGUAUUAUCAAGGGAAGUUUUCUGUUUAAAUCCAUUUAUUUUCACGCAUAUAGCCCACAAGCCUGCUGUGAAACAGUUUAUUUCAGCAGCACCGCAUAUAUAAGUUUUUUCCUUUCUAAGCAGAACCCUUCUCCUCAGCCCACGGUAGAGCAGAGCCCUUUCCCCCACCCUCCAGACAUGGAGCACAGUUUUUCCUUUCGAUGGCAGAGGGUCUAAUGUGUUUUCCAUUCUCUGCUUUGGCAAGUGGUAGUCCUCUCCCUUGAAUAUUUGAUCUCAUGCAGACAUAACAAGAUUACAGUAAAUGGGGGGAGGGCAGUCCUUGCCCCAUAAGAAUGUUUACUGUACAUAUACCCACUGUACAUAUAAUUACUUUUUGCAAAUACUGUUAUUACCCUAGUAGAGGGAUGCAUGUGUUGGGGUAUCACCCGAAGUUGCUCUUGGCCUAAUAAGCAUGAGCUCAAGCUAGCAGGAAAAGCAGGAUAUUUCAUGUAGAACACAAACCAAUCUGAACCUAGGGCCAAAACUAUUAAGCUUAGGUGCUCAAAUACAAGGACAGAGCAGGUGUUUGCAGUCUACGCUACUAAACCAAAACUGAGAGCAACAUCAAAGUACACGCCUGAGUAAAUUAUCUAGGCAUGCCAAUACUGGGUACCUAAUGUAGACAAAAGUUUCCAACUUAAGUUAAAACUAACGCUUUAAAAUCAAACAAACAGAACCAAAAACAAACCAACAGACAGUUACUGGCCUUGCCAGGACUGCCUUUGCACUAAAGGCAAUACAAACCAGCUAACUGUUCAGGUACUUCUGUGACACUUCCAUGGGCCAUCGUGUAAAGCAUUUAUCUGUGAGAUGCUCUGACAGCUGCUUGCUGGAGGAAGCACGCCAGACUAAAACUGUGGGCAUGUAAAUUCUGUUCUGCUUCUGUCCCUGACUGCUCACCCAGACGAUGCAUGUGAAUGUGAGCUGGGCACAACACCUUCUGACCUGUGUCAGUGUCUAUUAAACAUGACCCGAGGGUCUGUGAUAGCAUUCGUGUAGAAACCAUACAUGGUUUGCUUAGAGUGGAGUGGAACUUCCACUUAAGGGCCUAAGACCUACACAAAGGAAAAGGAUGCAAUCCAGGAGGGAAAAAGAUAGAUGACCUCCCCAGUGCUACACAGCAGGUAAGUGCUACAGCUCCAAACUGAUUUCAGGUCUUUUUGACCCUUACUUAAUGUCCUGUGCCCAUUUAGGAAACGCUGCCCCCGUGAGCACUUGUAAGAGAAUAGCGACAGGUGACAUAGAAAAGCUGCAAAACAAAUUAAAUAAAAUGUCAAGGAGGACUUUGCUGAAAGCUUCUCAUGGCAGUUGCAAUUUGUUUAGCAGACAGCAUUCAGAAAGGACUCAGAACAUUCUCUUCAAUGCUACAGCUCCUUACUCAGACACCUCUUGAAGAUCAUGUCUUCCUUAACAAGUUACUUUUUCCUUUAUGAAAUCUCUUCAGAUAUGUUUUCCCCUACUUGAUAUAUCUUCUGCCUACAGCUGCCACUGUUUAUUUCCACUUCUCAGAAUCAUAAAUCACAACAUUCCUUUCUGACAAUAUCGACAUAAUUGCAUUUCUCCAAAUGAAAAGCAAGUUACCUGACCUUAACAGGCAUCCUUCACCACAAAACCUUCACAAGUCUUUAGUUAUCAUUACAUGCCACACGAAGAACGAUUUAAUCAAUACUGCAACUUUUCUUCACACUACUUCUUCAAGGUGGCGUGACAGGGAUGUCUCUAGGUGUCUGUAACAUACUUAGGCUGGUGUUUUAGCACAGUUUCAGUAACAUUUAUCACAGAGUAGAAAGAGUACAGGCUUUUCCAUUUCAGUGGUGCAGGAGGUUCCUCAGAAUCAAAAAUGUUUUUUAUACUGGUUUUCUCCCUCCUCCUAUCCCUACAAAAGUAAAUGAGCUUUGGUUCUUCUUUUACAUCAGAGCUCAGAGAUUACUACAGACAUACUAAAUUAUCAAAUAAAAGUUAUCAGGAAAUCUAUGUCACUUUGUUUAACAAUCAAUUCCAAAUGAUAAAAAAGGAAUGACUGAAAAAAUGUAGCUUGUAUUCAUAUAGAUGAUAAAGUCCAGGCAGCUUAACCCAUCAGCAUAUAACUACCUUUUCUUAGCUCACCUUAACCUACAAGAUAAUACUACUUAAUCUGUGCUUUAUUUGAGUCAGAUAAGCUUUAGGUUUAGACAUUUUUGUUUUAGAUGUGUUUAUUUUUACAAACACUCUCUAGAAUGCAAUGCUGGAAGCUCAGCUUCUGUGCUCUGUGCAACUGAGUACCCAGGGACAGUUUUCUGUUAUAAAUAACAAUUACAAUUCAAGUUUGUCUUCACUACCCAAAGAGAACAAAUCACCACUCCAACAGUAGGGACAGGGCAAGAAAGCACUCUUUGGACACAUAACGCAGCUCGGGGUUUAUUUUUAUGCAUGAUUUUAAAAUUGUAAAGCCUUGUGAAAAAGGCAGAGUGGGGAGUUUGAUAUUUUAAUCAGCACUGAAAUAAAACCCAUAACCUUACCGAGCGAAAUAGCCUUGUCUUCGUUCCUUCUUCUCUUCCUUGGUCUCCAUUAUGUGCACUCAAAUGGGCAAGGUGAGCGGCCGGGCGUGAUGCUCUUCUUCCCCUCAGUACCUCAUAUCCAGGUAGAGCUCC